CACAGCUUUGUCAGGCAAAUCUAUCCCUUUGGAACUCAUAUUUACAGCCAACUUCCAUAAAGUGUAAGAGUCCCAUUUGGCAGUUGAUGGGAGAAGUGUAUCUGUAUUGUCAUGGGGCCAAUUCCCAGAGCUGAGUCUGCAAGCUCUGGAAUUGGAGCCAUAACAACAAGCACUCCUCGAUAGCUCAUGCAGACACCUGGCACCGGAGCAUGGGAACUUUUGGAGUGAGAAUCAAAACAGCUUUAAUGAAUAGUUGGUGUUGUAGUGGUAGUAAUGUGAUAUGUGGGGUGGGGUUUGGUGAUGAUAUUUACGUGUGGUGUGACGUUGUAGCAAAGGUGAUAAAAAUGAUUGUAGAAAGAAGGUCGUUGGAUCCAUGGAGCAGAAACCUGGACAAAGGAGAGACAAGGCAGAAGGUAGCCAACAACUAUGGUGUCGAACGGGUAGCAGUAGGAGAAUGGAAAUGGAAUCGAUUGCAGAUAGAAAAAUGGUGUUCUCCAAAGUUACCGAUGGUGUGCUGAAAGAGAGGAAAACAAUGAAAAAUGUGACUAUGAAAAAGUUAUUGAAGCUUUGUAUGUUUGGUUUACGCAGCUGAGAGACAAAGGUGUGUGUAUUUCAGGGCCUAUUUUACAGCAAAAGGUAUUGCGUUUUCAAAAAGAAUUUAAUGAAGGGGAAUCAGAUUUUACAGCAAGCAUUGGCUCGACAGGUGGAAGAAACGUUAUGGAAUCCAUCAGUUAAGUGUUUGUGGUGAGAAGCUGUCAUCAAAUUUUCAAGAAAUAGAGGCAUUCAAGAAAGAAAUUCAAGGGGAAAAAAAUUCAAGACUUUGUUGAAACUGAAAGCCUAACGGGUGAUCAGAUGUUUAAUUGUGACGAGACCGGCCUCAAUUGCAAAAUUUUACCGAGCAGGAGUCUUGCAGCCAGAACUGAAGCAGCAGCCCCUGGCUAAAAGCACAGCAAAGAAAGGCUGACAAUGUUAGCAUGCAGCAGUGCUACAGCAAACCACAAAAUGGACCUUGCAAUGAUUGGGAAGCCCAAAAAUCCAAGAGCCUUUAAAACAGUUUCAAAAAUUGCUCUUCCUGUAAAAAACUACAAUCAAAAAAGUUUGUUGAUGACCAGUGAAAUGUUCAAAAACUAUUAUUAUUAUUAUUAUUAUUAUUAUUAUUAUUAUUAUUAUUAUUAUUAUUAUUACACGUUAUUUAUAUUCCGCUCUAUCUCCCCAAGGGGACUGAGGGCAGAUCACCAAUACACAUACACGGCAAACAUUCAAUACCGUUUGGACAGAACAGAAUAAGACAAACAGAAGGAGGUAGGUAGUCUUGAAGUCCAGUUUUUUGGUGCCUUGGAGGCUGAUGUUGCGCUCAGAUUCAGUCACAGGGGUGCUGUUGCUUCAUUCUCUAUGACGGAGAGCUAUCAGAACUUCCUCCUUCCAACUUCCUCUUUGUCACCACAUUUCUGGUCUUGACGUUUAUGAUGUCGCAAAAUACCUCCCCCGCAAUUUAUGGUACCUAAUUUCUCUACUUACAGCUCAUAGACUGUUUUUGAACUGCUUAGGUAAACAGUGAGCUGGCCUGGAGGUCGAGCGCUCACCCCCGACCGGGCUUCGAACUGGCCACCUUUCGGUUGGUGGAUCUUAUUACUGCUGUUGAUUUACCAGUUGUGCUACAGCCCAGCCCUAAGGAACUUGUUCCUUCCACGGAGGAAUUUUUGAAGGAAAUUUACCUGCCCAGGAAAGCGGUUUUGUUGCUAGACAAUGCCUCAACACACCCUGAUGCAGAGGAGCUUCAAGAGGGGGACAUGAAGGCGAUGUUUCUGCCACCGAAUGUAACCGUCAUAUGCCAACCGAUGGAUCAGGGCGUUUUGGAAGAGCUCAAAAGGAACUAUUGCAGGAAGCUAUUCUCGGCAAGGAUAGAAGAAAUGGAAUAAGUUGUUAGGCCUCUCGGGAUCUAACACAAGGAUAGGGUUUGGGCUCUAGAAACCGCAAUGACACACAUCAAGCAACAAGAAGAAGCUCCGGGGAUGGACAUAAGGAUGCCGCAAAGAUGGCGAGACUUGGCAGCGGAGAAAUGGCAAUCGUUGGAAAAGCAGGCAAAGGUCACAGAUUUUAAAAAAUCUUCACAAGACUGAACUUUUUAUGGAUUUAACUUCCAACAGUGUUGUUUUAUGCAAUUCUAUAUUUAUAGUCAAGUUUUUAGUAAUAUUGUUUGUAGUCAAUGCUUUCAAUACAUUGCGAUGUUUGGUGCUAAAUUCGUAAAUACAGUGAUUUCUCCAUCAUGUUACCGUGUAUUGAACUGCUUUAUCUGUCAACUUGUUGUAAAACAUGAUGUUAUGGUGCUUAAUUUGUAAAAUCAUAAUGUAAUUUGA